rnacentral:rRNA from 1 species
AUGGAGGACUUCUACCGGGAGAUCUACGCCGUCGACGGGGUCCACCACAUCGACUUCCCCCAGCACUACCCCGUCUCCUGCCUCCUCGGUCCGCAUCCAUCGUCUUCCUUGCUAGUUACCGCCGCCGCCGCUAUUCCUCUCAGCUUGCUGACGCCAUUGCCGAUUAUUGCUCAGGAUGCGUCGAGGUGGUCGGCUGCGUCAGCAACUGCCUUACCAGUACGCCGCCAAGGGGGCAUGCCUUGCCCUGGUAGCAAGGAGGGAGUGGAGCCUGUGGCAGGUCGCCGACCACGCCUUUGA